rnacentral:lncRNA from 1 species
GCUCUGGUGCUGGCGGACCUCGGGUCGCGCAGUCAGGUAGCUGCCCGCUGGCGUCGGGCGGGUGCCGCCCUUGAACCUCUUUGUUCAUACACUGUCCUGCGGCCCGGACGGUGUCUUGACGCUGCAUGCCGGUCUUUGUCCUGCCGGAGGCACUGAGGACUGGCGGCUCCCGGGGCCUCAGGCCGAAGUUGUGCGAGCGCGGCCCAGGCGGGUGGCCCUGAGGCCGGGAGCCUCGCCUGGGCCGGAAACGGGGACAGCGGGGGGCUCCUGCACAGGGGACCCGCCGCGCGCUUCCCCGCCACGUUUGGGGAGGGAGCGGGGACGUCCUGGCGUUCGACCCUCGCCUCCGUAUCGGGACGGCGCGGCCCCAGUCAGCGCUGAGCACUUCUCGGCCGGGUGUUCUGACCGUCACCAUUGUUGCUCUGGACUACUCUUCAGCUGAAAGUUGUUUCAGGCAGGUUUGCUAGUCCGGAAUUGGGUGGGAGAGAAUUCCAAGGAGAGAGAGGAAAGGCAGAGGCAAUGGCAGUGAGGGAGCAGGAUGCUUCAGAGGAAUUCCAGUGGCUGCUGUGGAUACAUGGUGGCGGGGACAGGGGAACAGGUGCCACCUGAUCGUGCAGGUCCCUGUCGUCAUAUUCAGGAGUUUGGACUCUGCAGUCCACAAUCUCAGUCUUAUUUCUGCAGCUGCUCUAAGAUGGCGAAACUCACCUUCAGGACAUGCUCCCUUGGGCUAGGAGAUCAGGUGGGCUCCGGGUGAUGCGCAAGUCCACCCCUCUAGCUGCAGUUCCGCCUUUUUCUCUACAACCAAGCAAACAUUUUGGCAGGCACGUGUGAGUGACGACCUUGAAACCAAUCUGAUUUAUUUUUCUGAAAAUUCAUAGGUUGAAAUUAAUCCCAGCGUGAUGGUCUUUGGAGGUGGGGCCUUUGGGAAGUGAAUAAAUCAUGAGGGUGGAGCCUCAUGAAUGGGAAUAGUGCCAUAACGAGGCCAGAGAGCUCUCUUGCCCACUUUCCACCGUGUGAGGAUACAGUGAGAAGAUGGCCUGCAACCCAGAAGAGAGGCCUCACCAGAACCUAACCAUGCUGGUGCCUGAUCUGAGACCUCAGCGCCUCCAGAGCUAUGAGAAAUGAAUUUCUAAACCCAGUCUAUGGUACUUUGCUGUAGCAGUCUGAACAGUCUAAGACAGGGAUGAAAAAGCUUCAAGGAGCAAGUUUGUGAACUGAGCCUGGAAGGAGGAGUAGGAUCUGACAAAGGGUUAGAAGAGGAAGGACUCCAAGCAGAAGGAGCAAACCUAGGAAAGAGACUGAGGGAAAAAUUCAGGAGACCAAACUCUCAUGCGCAGGAGGUUCAUGCUGAGGGGAGCAGGAAGCAGAGCUGGACUGGGGAGGCCUUGAAGGCAGGCAGAGCAAGGAGCCCCACCAGGUGACUGCUCAUUGGCCUCCCAGAUGGAUUCGAUGGUAUCGCUCAGAUGAUGGAACAAAAAAGAAAAAGAGAAAACACAAAUGUGACAUGUGAAAAAUAGGAAUGAAAGAGAAAGAUAAAAGAGAAGGAAAAUCUUCCCAGGUCUAGAAGAUACAUUCUCGUAUCGAAAGGGCCCAGCAGGUGCCCAGCACAACAAACCUAGGAAGACCAACACCAAGGCACAUCGCCACAGCAUUCAGAACACCAAGGAUAAAGAAAAGAUCUUCAGAGUUUCCUGAAGGAAAAAUGAAAAGGUCACAUUUAAAGGACUGGAAAUCAGAAUGGCAUGGAAAUUCUCCACAGAAUCCCAGGAAGCUGGAAUACAAUAGGGCAUUAACUUCAAAAUUCUGAAGAAAAUAAUUCUAACAUAGAAUUCAACUCUCACUAUAUUAGCUGUUUGUGGGUAGGAUGUAGAUAUUUUCAGAUAUCCUUAUCUCAGAAAGCUACUGGAGGAUAUUCUUCUCCAAAAUUAAGAAAUUAGCCAAGAAAGAGGAUAAUAUUUGGGACCUAAAAAACAGGAAGUCCCAGCUUAGGAGAGAGGAGAAGGGAAGUACUAGGACAGAAGCUAGGACUUAUACAGUAGGGGAUAGAGGCCUCUAGGAGAGAUGUUUCCAGAAGGAAGUGAAUCACAUGGAAUGCCUGUUAUGGAUGAAUAUCUUAAAAGGGAUCUUCAGAAUUUGAUGAUGAUAAGUAAUAGCUAGAUAGGAAAGUGAAUAAGGAAAUAAAUGAGGCCAUUAUUGAAUCUAGUGAAAACAAUAUGCAAAAAAGGAUAUAGCAUAUGUCUUGGCUGUGAAUAAAUAUGUAAUUAUAACAAGAUAAUUGCUGAAUGGGAGUUUAACCCAAAGGGGUGUUAUAAUUAUUUUUGAAAAAAGGGAGGUGACCUUACGUGUGUUUACAUAAAUGUGCAUGUGUCUAGGAAGUGAGGGUGGGAGAGUUAAAUCCUUGUCUUCUAGAGUUAGGAAGUCCAUAGACUAUACGCACAAUUGAAAAGUAAGGACAGAACAUUAAAUAUGUGUUCUUAGAAAAUAUGAGCAUAAGGCCGGGCACAUUGGCUCAUGCCUGUAAUGCCAGCACUUUGGGGGGCCAAGGUAAGAGGACUCUGUGAGCCCAGGAGUUGGAGACCAGCCUGGGCAACAUAGUGAGACCUCAUCUCUACAAAACAUUUUUAAAAAUUGGCCAGGCAUGGUGGCAUGCACCUGUAGUCCCAGCUACUUAGGAGGCUGAGGUGGGAGGAUCAUAUGAGCCCCAGAGUUUCAGUCUGCAGUGAGCUGGGAUUGUGCCACCACACUCCAGCCUGGGUGACAGAGUAGGACGCUGUCUCACACACAAAAAAAGGAAAAGAAAGUAGAGUAAAUUCUCUCAUAUACAAAAGAAAUAUAUAAGAGAUAAAUGUAAGAGAAGGAAUUGGGAGUGGGAGUGUGUGGUGUGGGCAACUACUAUUUUUGUUAACAAAUCUAGAAAUACCAUUUGAAUUUUAAGAUUAUAAAUAUUUGAUAUAAGGAAAAAUUUUUAAGUUUUAAAAAGUUAUUCACUAAUACAAGUGGUAGUAAGUGGCACGACUGUCACUCAAAUUCCAAUCUGUCUAAAUCUUGAAGCUUUAAAAAAUUGUUAUGACUACAGUACACUACAGCAAAGGGAAGGAAAAGUCAAAUAUUACUUCAAGGUCUCUUUCCUGGGAGACUACAAGAAAAGUUGCAUGCAGAAAUCAGUGUAACAAGAGCAAGAAGAGUUACGUAGGAUUAUCCACAUCCUGCUUCACCUCCUGCUUCAUAGCUCAGGCAAGCACUUCCCUGUGCUCUGCUGUGCACAGCCAGUUUAUCAGUGUGGGAAAAAAUCUAUAAAUAGGAUGGAGGUUUACAUAAAAGAGAAACAUAGGAAAAGAAAGGGGAAUAAAAAAGAAACUGUAGAGCGAAUUUGGGGGUUAAUGCAGAGGAAAAAGCUAAAGUGAGAGACAUCACAUCAGCUGUGAGAGAGAAACCCAGAAAAUGAAUGGCAGGGGCAUCUGGGACAGGUUUCUCUUGGUAACAAGUUGACCCUUUAAAUAGACUGCAAGAUGUAUUUGCAGUUUUUAUUUGGAUGCUGAAUGAAAUUUCUUUUGAGUAUAACAACCACAUGAGCUCAAGAUUUUAUUUGGGCAAUGAUAUGGUUUGGCUGUGUCCCCACCCAAAUCUCAUCUUGAACUGUAGUUCCUAUAAUCUCCACAUGUCAUGGGAAGGACCUGGUGGGAGGUAAUUGAAUCAUGGGGGCGGUUACCUCCAUGCUGUUCUCUUGAUAGUGAUUGAGUUCUCAUGAGACCUGAUGGUUUUAUAAGGGGCUUUUCCCCUGCGUCACUCCACAUUUCUCCUUGCUGCUGCCAGGUGAAGAAGGACUUGUUUGCUUCCCCUUCCAACACGAUUGUAAGUUUCCUGAGGCCUCCCUAACCAUGCUGAACUGUGAGUCAAUUAAACCUCUUUCCUUUAUAAAUCACCCAGUCUCAGGUAUGUCUUUAUUAGCAGUGUGAGAAUGGACUAAUACAGCAAAUUGGUACCAGGUAGUGAGGUGCUGUUGUAAAGAUACCCAAAAAUGUGGAAGUGACUUUGGAAUGGGGUAACAGGCAGAGGUUGGAACAGUUGGGAGGGCUCAGUAGAAGAUAGGAAAAUGUGGGAAAGUUUGAAACCUCCUAGAGACUUGGAGGGCUCAGAAGAUAGGAACAGGUGGGAAAGUUUAGAGCUUCUUAGAGACUUGUUGAAUGGCUUUGACCAAAAUGCUGUUAGUGAUAUGGACAAUGAAGUCCAGGCUGAGAUGGUCUUAGAUGGAGAUGAGGAAGUUGUUGGGAACUGGAGUAAAGGUCACUCUUGCUAUGCUUUAGCAAAGAGAAUGGCAACAUUUUGCCCUUGCCUUAGAGAUCUGUGGAACUUUGCACUUGAGAGAGAUGAUUUAGGGUAUCUGGUGGAAGAAAUUUCUAGACAGCAAAGCAUUCAAGAGGAAGCAGAGCAUAAAAGUUUGAAAAAUUUGCAGGCUGGCAAUGCAAUAGAUUAAAAAAACCCAUUUUCUGGGGGAGAAAUUCAAGUUGGCAACAAAUUUGCAUAAGCAAUGAGAAGAAGAAUGUUAAUCACUAAAACAGUGGGGAAA